UGGAAAAAUUGCAAGAAUUAG
rnacentral:piRNA from 1 species